UCUCUGGCCAGGACUCAUCACUUCCCUGAGCCCCAGUUCCCCCAUGAAUCCAUCGUGCUCUCUGGGAAGCAAACAAGAACACUGCUGUGGAUGGCACGGGUAAUGAGCCUGGAUGGUGCUAACGACCGGAGGGGAGCCAAUCCGGCCUGCGCACUGGAUCCUUAACCAUGUCAUCCCGUUCCAGAAACAAUGAAACAAAAUGCCGUGCUGCCUAAAUGUGGGGUAGAGGGGGCAGCAGGAAACUCCAGAACAAAGCUUCCACACACUACCCUCUGUGGAAGCCACAGAUGGUGGAAAACAUCCACAUGAUGCCAGCUACCGGAUGGGAUGCUUGGCAGUCUUCCUGCCUGGUGAGGAAGAGAGAGUGAUUCUCGAAAGGGUUCCAAAUCACACACUGCUGGGGAGAAACUACCAGAAAAUGAGGUCAGAAGAGAACGGUGAAGUCUUUAUAUCCAGUAAAAGAGAGUAUGGGCUUCAUGGAUGGAAUUCUGUCUCCUUUCUUGCCCUGUGACAACACGGUAUUUGCCCCUCUUUUUUGUACUUUCGUGUCAUCUACCACGUGAGGGCAUCUAGAUGUACCAUCCACUAGAAACAGACCUUUAGCAGAUGCAGAACCUGGCAGCUGUAUGAUUUUAAAAAUUAUUUUCUUUAUAAA